rnacentral:rRNA from 1 species
GACGAACGCUGGCGGCGUGCUUAACACAUGCAAGUCGAACGGAAAGGCCCUGCUUUUGUGGGGUGCUCGAGUGGCGAACGGGUGAGUAACACGUGAGUAACCUGCCCUUGACUUUGGGAUAACUUCAGGAAACUGGGGCUAAUACCGGAUAGGAGCUCCUGCUGCAUGGUGGGGGUUGGAAAGUUUCGGCGGUUGGGGAUGGGCUCGCGGCUUAUCAGCUUGUUGGUGGGGUAGUGGCUUACCAAGGCUUUGACGGGUAGCCGGCCUGAGAGGGUGACCGGCCACAUUGGGACUGAGAUACGGCCCAGACUCCUACGGGAGGCAGCAGUGGGGAAUAUUGCACAAUGGGCGGAAGCCUGAUGCAGCAACGCCGCGUGCGGGAUGACGGCCUUCGGGUUGUAAACCGCUUUCGCCUGUGACGAAGCGUGAGUGACGGUAAUGGGUAAAGAAGCACCGGCUAACUACGUG